rnacentral:lncRNA from 1 species
GGCUGACAUCAUAUUGGUCAUAAUACAAUCAGUGUUCCAUCUGCCUGCCGACUCAAAUUCCUGCAGCAACUUCUGCUUUUCUGAAGAGAAUGGAGCAAAACACGAGCCUGUGUAAGGAAAGUGGAAACCCAUCAGCAAAGGAUGUUUCCAAGCACAAACAUAAAUGUGCUUGGAGAGACCCUGAUGUAUCCUUUUAAUGACUAGCUGUAACUCACUGCUUUUACUUUUACUUUAGUAAAAAAAGGGGGGUACUAAACCAGGGCAAGUGGCAGGAACAGCUGAAAACAUACUUGCCCACUCUCCCUACGACCACCUAAGGGCUAUGAACAUCUGGAACAAUCUGAAGCAGAGGGAAAGUGGGUACAUGCUAAUGUUUUUCAGUGAUGUAUUCCGCUUUUUAUUACCAUGGAACUUUUGAGACCGGGAUGUGUUCCUUCACAAACAGUGGUUGCUAUAUUGGAAAUGGGUCACAUUAUUUGAGAUCUGGAAUGAUUUGUGUAAUGCUAAUCCAAGGGGGUUUAAACUUACUAAGUGUUCUUGGCAAUGUAUAAGAACCUAUGAGCCAUCAUCUGAUCUGGGAUUUCUCUUUUCUCUUUUUGGGAGUGGGUGGUGGUGGAGGAGUUAGGAAGAGGCAGUUUUGCACCUAUAGGAUGCUUGGAGAUCAUUCCCCUGCACAGAACCGUGUUGUCAGCCACAGAUCUCUUUCCAAUUUCCACGCUUCAAUCCUGUCUAUGUUUGCCAUCACAUUGGCUGAGUAUUUAAUCUCUUUGCUCUCCAGAAAACAGCUCUUUGUCUCUGUCUGUACCGUACAACAGAAGCAAGUAGCAGGAUUGGAGAUGACGAAAAGACCCUUAAGAAGAGCAUGGGUAGGACAUUACAGAAAUAGGUCCCUUCUUUUUUUCCAAUGAUAUGUUAUUCAGUGUCAACAUUAAUACCAUAUACAGUCAAAAAACACAACUUCGUCUUUUCUCUUAUUUUUGUCGACUUUCCACCCAUUUUCCUAUGGAGUUGUUGUUUCUCUUCUUCUGAUGCACCCUGUCUUCUACCUACCAAAUCGUAACAAUAUUAUAAUCUGAUUACUUCUGUUGCUUAUAGCUCUAAUCCUGCUCACAAGUUCAUCAUUACUAUUUCUUGAAAUAGUUCAAAAAAGGCAUCCAUUCUUCCAUAAAACAUGCAUUCUCUUAAAAAGCCCAUUCUCUUAAUUUUGCUGUUACUUAACACCCCCCCCCCAAAAAAGGUCCCUUCUGAUACCUGGGUUCCAAGCCAUCUAGGGCUUUAUAUGCCAGAAUCGAAACCUUGAAUUGGGCUUGGUAGCAAACUGGCAGCCAGCAGAAAUCAUGUGGUCUCCUACAAACAAGACAGUCUCUAUAACCUGGCAGCAAUAUUUUGUUCUAGCUGCCAUAUCUCAGCUGUAGUCAAGGGCAGCCCUAUGCAAAAUGCAUUGCAGCAGAAUAAUUGGGAGAUGACUAAAUGAUGGAUUACUGUGGCCAGUUAUCGCUGUCCAAGAAUAGCCAUAGCUGGUGAUGCAGCUGGAGUUGGAAAUAGUUGCUCUGUGCAAUUGGUGGCACUUGGGCUUCUAGGGACAGAGUAGAAGCAAGAAGCGUGCCCAGCCUGCAAACCUCAUUCUUCCGGGGGAAUGCCAUCCCAUCCCAUCCAGGACAGGCUAACUAAUUCAUGGACCCAGAAUGGCCAUAGGAUAACAGCCAGAGUGCCGUAACGAAACUGAGCUAUGCACAUGCAACAGUGAAUGCAUCCUUUUAUUUAAAAACACACAGGCCUCCCAUUCAUAAAUAGUUUGACAGGGAUAAGGCUGACUAGAAGGCUUUCCCUGAUAUACUGGUUUUUUUUAAUAUAGAAUAUUUUUCUCUAUAUAGGGAAUAUUCAAACACAAACUCCUAUAUUUGCAGCCUGUUAUGGUAUAACCCACCAAGAGGCAAUUUAAAACUGCUCUAAGAGGGUACGCUUUCACUAACAAGAAAUGUGGGAGAGAGACACGAAUAUAAAAGCCUUUUUUAAUUUUAAUAGAAUAUCUUUUAGCCAAUAAUGUGAGGUCAAUCUGUAAUGGGAGACUAUUGAAUAAAGCAGACAGGCAUAAAGAUUUGACUAUCAGUCUUAAUGAUGGCACAUUGUCAGCUUCAGAAGCCAUAAUGUACUCUGGCCUUUCUCUCCCUGCUUUAAUGCAAACGUUCAUUCAUAUCAGCUCGCCGUGUCAAACUACACGGCAAUUUAGUCCCUUACUUCAUGGGUACACUAUUGAACAGAACUGACUUGCCAGACCAGAAAAUAUAUGUUUUAUUUAUUUACGUUGUAGAUUUAUGCACUGCUCUUUAGUAUAAAUAUUUCCAGAGUGGUCCUUCCAGUGCAGUAUUACGUUUCCAACAGUAGCCAGAUGAAGGUCCUUCACAGCCUACAAAGAGAACAUCAUAAUGAUAAUCAUCACCUCUUGUUUAUUAUUUCUGCCCCAUAAUUCUGGCAGCUAGCACAACCAGACGCCGUCCUCUACCCCAGCUGCAACAAAACAUGUCUCUCCCGUAUCGGUCUCUACAGCCACUGCAAGCGCUGUAACCUUCCAACAGUUUGACUUUACCCCACAAAAUGCACUCCUCCAUUGUCUCCCGAGACAGACGGAUGCCAACCAAACAUAUUACCUUAGCUCACAAAGGCUCCAUUUCGCUACGAUGGCAAAUAAGUGAUAACACUACAGAUAGGGAAUCGUAGAAUUGAGAACUGAGAUUCUUACAUUGCAGAGGGUCAUCUAGUCCAACCAAAAGCAUCCAUGACAGAUGACCAUCCAAUCUCUGCUUUAAAAAAUCCCAAAAAAGGAGAGUCCAUCGCUGUCAAAUGGCUCUUACCAUCAGAAAAUUCUACUUUGUGUUUAGUGAGUUGUGGGACAGUCAAGUUUCCAGCUGCAUUUGUUUGUUCCUUUGCCUUUAACAGCAGCCAGAAACAAAUAAAUGAAGAGGGUGAAUAUUUUCCUGGCAGAGAGAUAAAGGAUUGAGGAAAAGAAAUACCACAAUUUCUGAGAGUUUGCCAGUUUGGAUAAGAUGCCCCUAACUUUUCCACUUCCUUCUGGAGCCAAUGCUCAGUUAAUGCCUUAUUUUGCAGGUUAACUUUUCUUACAGGUAUGCGGGCGCUGCUACAUUAAGGUCGCUGUCAAAGGGCCGGAAAGGAAUUUCCCUGCAUUGGCAGGUUUCGCCUUUCCCGUAGCAAAACGUCACAACUUUGGCGGUAUCAGGCUUUGGGCGGAAUCCUUUUCUCCAUCUUCCUCUUUGCAGCGGUGAUACCAGGGUUCCCCGUUAAAGGGGUUUCUGAAGGGAGGCUUUGACCGUAUGCCAAAAGGUCGUCAUUGCUCUCCCCCCGGCGGCGGUGUAACGGGGGCGGCUAUCUCUGCUUGAACAUAUGUUCUCCAGAGCCGGCCCAUCCCCCACACAAACACUGGAUAACCCUGAUGCUCCCUAGGUCCCCGGCUGGGGACUGGGGAGGGAGAACGCCCAAUGCCUGAGCCAAGGUCUAC